AGGACAAACGCUGGCGGCAUGCCUAACACAUGCAAGUCGAACGCGUGUAGCGAUACACGAGUGGCGGACGGGUGAGUAACGCGUGGGAACCUGCCCUGGAGUGUGGGAUAACCGAGGGAAACUUCGGCUAAUACCGCAUACGACCUGAGGGUGAAAGAUUUAUCGCUCUAGGAGGGGCCCGCGUCGGAUUAGCUAGUUGGUGGGGUAAAGGCCUACCAAGGCAGUGAUCCGUAGCUGGUCUGAGAGGAUGAUCAGCCACACUGGGACUGAGACACGGCCCAGACUCCUACGGGAGGCAGCAGUGGGGAAUAUUGGACAAUGGGCGCAAGCCUGAUCCAGCCAUGCCGCGUGAGUGAUGAAGGCCCUAGGGUUGUAAAGCUCUUUUGUGCGGGAAGAUAAUGACGGUACCGCAAGAAUAAGCCCCGGCUAACUUCGUGCCAGCAGCCGC
rnacentral:rRNA from 1 species